UAAAUAUUUAGAACAGCCAUUAAUUUUACAAAUUUUCGCGAGAGACGUCAUUUAUGCCAUGUGUUUGCCACGUAAUAAAGCGAGAAAAGCUCUUUAUUAUUGAAAUUACGGCAGGCGACAGCAGGAAGAGAGAGAAAAUGUCUCGCGUGGAUCCACCCCGCUCGCUCGUACCUAGCCCGGCAAACACGCCGCACCGCACUUCCCGGAUUGUUUUAGGGUGCGCCAAAAAGCCGGGGAAACCGCCAGUCGAAGCUCAACCGGACGCUAGAAAUUAUUUAUGCUGGGACACGCCUGCCAACGCACGCGCACGUCGUGUACAUCCCCCUGUCGUUCCAGCACCGCGACGCAGCGAAUCUGAAGGAGCCUCGAAAUGCCACAGUGCGAUGUCUUGGAGUAGCAAAGAUGUGGGUGCACUGCCUCCUUGGAUAUCCGCUGUGGACCCACUCCAGCUUUAGGAAUAGCAAUAUCCUACACUGGAACA